rnacentral:rRNA from 1 species
CCUACGGGCGGCAGCAGUGGGGAAUCUUCCACAAUGGGCGCAAGCCUGAUGGAGCAACACCGCGUGAGUGAAGAAGGGUUUCGGAUCGUAAAGCUCUGUUAGUGGGGAAGAACGUGCGUGAGAGUAACUGUUCACGCAGUGACGGUAUCCAACAAGAAAGUACCGGCUAACUCCGUGCCAGCAGCCGCGGUAAUACGUAGGUGGCAAGCGUUAAUCGGAUUUAUUGGGCGUAAAGCGAGCGCAGGCGGUUGCCUAGGUCUGAUGUGAAAGCCUUCGGCUUAACCGAAGAAGUGCAUCGGAAACUGGGCGACUUGAGUGCAGAAGAGGACAGUAGAACUCCAUGUGUAGCGGUGGAAUGCGUAGAUAUAUGGAAGAACACCAGUGGCGAAGGCGGCUGUCUGGCCCGCAACUGACGCUGAGGCUCGAAAGCAUGGGUAGCGAACAGGAUUAGAUACCCCAGUAGUC